rnacentral:snRNA from 1 species
GUGCUCACUUUAGCAGCAAAUAUACUAAAAUUGGAGCAAUAGAGAGAAGAUUAGCAUGGCUCCUGUAUAUGGGUGACAUGCAAAUUUGUGAAACAUUCCAUAUUAAA